UACGUAGGGGGCAAGCGUUGUUCGGAAUUACUGGGCGUAAAGCGCACGUAGGCGGCGAUUCAAGUCAGAGGUGAAAGCCCGGGGCUCAACCCCGGAACUGCCUUUGAAACUAGAUCGCUAGAAUCCUGGAGAGGUUAGUGGAAUUCCGAGUGUAGAGGUGAAAUUCGUAGAUAUUCGGAAGAACACCAGUGGCGAAGGCGACUAACUGGACAGGUAUUGACGCUGAGGUGCGAAAGCGUGGGGAGCAAACAGG
rnacentral:rRNA from 1 species